UCUGAACCAGCCAUGCCGCGUGCAGGAAGACAGCCCUCUGGGUCGUAAACUGCUUUUAUUCGGGAAUAAACCUACUUACGUGUAAGUAGCUGAAUGUACCGAAGGAAUAAGGAUCGGCUAACUCCGUGCCAGCAGCCGCGGUAAUACGGAGGAUCCAAGCGUUAUCCGGAUUUAUUGGGUUUAAAGGGUGCGUAGGCGGCUUAUUAAGUCAGGGGUGAAAGACGGUGGCUCAACCAUCGCAGUGCCCUUGAUACUGAUGAGCUUGAAUGAACUAGAGGUAGGCGGAAUGUGACAAGUAGCGGUGAAAUGCAUAGAUAUGUCACAGAACACCGAUUGCGAAGGCAGCUUACUAUGGUUUUAUUGACGCUGAGGCACGAAAGCGUGGGGAUCAAACAGGAUUAGAUACCCUGGUAGUCCACGCCCUAAACGAUGAAUACUCGCUGUUAGCGAUAUACAGUUAGCGGCUAAGCGAAAGCGUUAAGUAUUCCACCUGGGGAGUACGCCCGCAAGGGUGAAACUC
rnacentral:rRNA from 1 species